CACUCAGCGCACGCGCACUAAAUUUAAAAGGCGAAGGCAACACGAGGAUCCUUCUCAUGACUGAGCUUGACGAGGACAACUGCCCACAUGGAUGCUUGGAGAAGGGUACUCUAUUGGUUAUGAACAAGAGUAGUUGGACAUAUCAAAAAGGCUGAUCAUGAGGACAACUGCCUGCGUGGAUAUCUAUAGAAGUGGUGCCCUGCCCAUCUGGAACGAGUUCUUGGACUCGUCAAAAGGUUGACGAAACCGACUUUGUAGAUGCCGGUAGAAGGGAUGCCCUCUCCACUUCGAACGAGACUUUUUGGACUUGUCAAAAAGGAACUCCCCAAAGAGUGCCUAACAGCAGUCUACCCUCAUCAGAAGUCCAGGAAUCAGACGAGGAAUUGCUGCUGCGGCUUAUUUGGUGGUGCUUUUGAAAAUUAACCAACAUCCAAAUGGAUCCUUGCAUCUACAUGUACAUGUAUGAAGUGACAUGAAACAUUCUUGAAACAAGAAGAAAACGACUUGAUAACAACUCACCCCUUUCUGACCUUCCUGAAUUCAUUGCUCCACCGGUCACAAGUACAACCAAUGUAACAUUGAUGCAGCCCACCAACCUGCAUUGUGUUCCCUAAUGGCCACCAGCAGCGAAG